GAUGAACGCUAGCUACAGGCUUAACACAUGCAAGUCGCGCGACCGGCGCACGGGUGAGUAACGCGUAUCCAACCUGCACUUCACCACGGGAUAACCCGGCGAAAGUCGGACUAAUACCGUAUGGUGAAGGAUGGGGAUGAGUCCGGUUAGCUUGACGGCGGGGGAACGGCCCACCGUGGCUACGAUCGGGCGGGGUUCUGAGAGGGAAGUCCCCCACACUGGAACUGAGACACGGUCCAGACUCCUACGGGGAGCAGGAGUGAGGAAGAUUGGUCAAUGUGCGUAAGCCUGAACCAGCCAAGUAGGGUGCAGGACGACGGCCUAUGGGUUGUAAACUGCUUUUAUGCGGGGAUAGGUACCGCAUGAAUAAGGACCGGCUAAUUCCGUGCCAGCAGCCGCGGUAAUUC
rnacentral:rRNA from 1 species